GUGGCUUAGGUCGGCUACUCGGUUAAUUGCAGGCUGCAUCGAGAUGUAUUAAUAGUGGUUUCAUUUCAUUGUUUCAUUUCACAACAGAAAUUGUCAGAAAAUAAAUUCCCUGCAAAAGGGGCACUGCUAAUGUCCGAGGGCAAAGGGGCAGGUGCGUCAGCACCACCUGGGGGCCAUCUACUGUAUAUACGUGCCUGGAUAGUCACCACGAGGAGCAGCAGUUUCGUGAUGGAUUUUUAUGACAUUAUAUUGUCUCACUGUGAUCUGUAUCAUGUACUUCCUCAUAGACGUCACAUUUUAGAUGAUAAGAGGUAACUGUUGGCGAAGGAUUGCCACAUGUCUGCUAAUAUGUUCUAACUGAUACGUGUAUGAAUCAAUCUGCUUGCUCCUGAUUCUCCCUUCUCUCUCUUCCCUACCCUUCUAGCCGUCCUGCAGAAUUGCUGAACCAUUUUCCCGCUAGGCAAUUUUUUCUCAGUUCAUAUUCGUAUUUUCAUCAUUCGCUCUUCGUAUUUCAUUGUAACCACUUUGGAAAUAUGACAACGAUAAUAAUGCAUUGGUUUGAUCGCUAAAACUUUUACAAGUCACAAUGUCUUAAGAUCGGCUAAGGGGGAGGGCUGAGCACCAGUCCACCCACCCAGUCUGCGAUGCCGUUAUUGUCACUCCUGGCGGUGUCGCGAUGUCCCAUGUCUUCGUUUAUUUACUUUUGACAGAAUUCGCUGAAAAUGGAUGCAAAUCCGGCCUUUUCCUUGUCUUUUCUAUACCGAAAUGAUCCAAUUUACUCCCGGUGUGCCUCAGAUUUGAUGACUGCCUCCCUAACAGUCAACAAUAACUUCAUCAAAGAGCAGAAACAACUCAUGAAGACCCUGAGGCAACUGGAACAUGAGCGUGUCACACAGAAGCGACGGCUGGAGGAGGAACAGAAGCAGUUUGCGUUCGUUAUGAGCAGGCGUCUGCGCCCGCGGAACAUACAGGCAUCAGCCAGCACCAUCACAUCAGCCAGCAUCUCGGCCCGCCGCCCUGCCAGGUGUACCCGCUCUGCCCCGCCAGCCUUGUCCACACAGAGGCAUGAAGCCAGGGGAAGGAGCUGGGAGCCAAGAGAUGCUACACAUGGGCAGUGUGAGAUGAUGACCCACUUAUGCCACUUGACCAGGUCUCUUCACAUGUGCUCAGAAGACAGCACCAAACCAAUGGCAACUGAUGUAAGUCUUGCAUUGUAUAUCACCCAUUGUGAAGUUAUGAAGCUUUUGAAAGAAAGCUUGAAAGAAUCGUACACAGCUAUAACCUCAAAAUCGUGCCCCCGAAGUUCUUCACAAGUGCACACUGCACUAAGCAGAAAGACACAGACAUCACAGAAAUGAAAUGAAAUGUUACUUACUGCCGUUUUUUUUUAAUGAAAAUUAUUAUGAAUGACCACUAGGUGGCAAUGUUCAAUCUUGUUUGUGUACCACUACAGUACGAUACAUCCCAUAUUACCAGUGUGUGUGAGUGUCCUGGUCAGUGCAGAGUGACCGGAAGUGUAGAGUAGGAAUGUACGGGUCAAGAGUGUCUGGUCAAACUGUAAAAUCACUUCCAGUUUCUGUAAUUUUCUUAUUUGCACCAUCUAUAACAAAUGCCAGUAGAAAAAAAAUGAUCGUCCUUCUGAAUUCUAACUGUUCAUAAAUCUUUUCAUCAUCAUUUUUUUUCCUCUCUUAGAUUGUGAGAGGCGGUGGUGGCAGCUCAGAAGGAAAGAACCAACAAGAGAGCAAAAACCCAAGAGGACGAAAUGCCAGAAGCUGUCCUCCAUCCCUGCAGAGGAGGGCUGAACACACAGAGACAGUCUGCUUGGACAUAAACCACCAUGCCAAAUAAUGGGACUGGUCUUUUUUUUUCCUCGAGAGAAUUGUUUGAGUGACAUUGCAGAUUCUCAUUGGAAAAGUUCAACUUACUACACCAAAGCCACAUGUGAACAGUGCACUGCAGGGGGUAGGACAUCAAUUCAGCAGGAGAGGAAGACCUAUCGGCCAAGGAUUUCAGGAAUAGCUUAGUUUAAUUAGCUUAGUAUAACUCAUUAGAAAAAUGAGAGGUAUUCAGCUGGUUGCAAUCUGCAGCCUCACCACUAGAAGCCAUUAACCUCACCACUAGAUCCCACUAAAUCCUACAUGCUGUACCUUUAAUUGGAAGGUCUUCUGUCUGGAUCAAUCUCUGCGUUUGUCUCCAUCAUAACAGUAUUUAGCUGCUCCAUGACUUAAUUCAAAAUUACUCUACUCAACUCAACUAGAUAUGUAGUGAACAGAACAAGCUAAUUAAGGCAAGGUUUUACAGUGGUACCUUGCGAUCGACUGAUCACAGAGGACAGCUGUACUCCUCCAGCAGAACUGCUCUAUCAGUAGACUAAGAUAGAAAGUAAUAUAAUGUAAGAUAGAUGGUUAUCUUACUGUGCAAGACAACAGUGUCUUCAUUUCAUGUAAAUACACCUGGUUUUAAUAAUACUUUGAAUUGUACAUUUUUUUGUAUAUGAUUUUUUGGUGCCAAAAAGCUACUUACUGCCCAUUAAAUCAAAAUCUGCCCUUGAUCAAUUUCUGAUAUCAUAACACCUUUUAAAAUCAUAAACAAAAGGACUGACAUCAAUUUUUUUGUAAACUCAUUAUCUGUCUCUGUCUUCUGUGUAUGCAAAUAGUCUCAAGAACUCCUUUGAGCUCUGUGAUCAGCAACUACAAGUUGAAACAGGUCUUGCUACAAUAAACAAUCAGGAGACCUCCCUAUUUGACUGUUA
rnacentral:lncRNA from 1 species